rnacentral:rRNA from 1 species
GACGAACGCUGGCGGCGUGCCUAAUACAUGCAAGUCGAACGCUGAAGGAGGAGCUUGCUCUUCUGGAUGAUUUGCGAACGGGUGAGUAACGCGUAUGUAACCUGCCUGUUAGCGGGGGAUAACUAUUGGAAACGAUAGCUAAUACCGCAUAACAGUAGAUGUUGCAUGACAUUUGCUUAAAAGGUGCAAUUGCACCACUACCAGAUGGACCUGCGUUGUAUUAGCUAGUUGGUGGGGUAACGGCUCACCAAGGCGACGAUACAUAGCCGACCUGAGAGGGUGAUCGGCCACACUGGGACUGAGAAAAGGCCCAGACUCCUACGGGAGGCAGCAGGAGGGAAACUUCGGCAAUGGACGGAAGGCUGAACGAGCAACGCCGCGUGAGUGAAGAAGGGUCUCGGAUCGUAAAGAUCCGUUGUAAGAGAAGAAAGAGUGUGAGAGUGGAAAGUUCACACUGUGACGGUACCUUACCAGAAAGGGACGGCUAACUACGUG